AGUGAACGCUGGCGGUAGGCCUAACACAUGCAAGUCGAACGGCAGCACAGUAAGAGCUUGCUCUUACGGGUGGCGAGUGGCGGACGGGUGAGGAAUACAUCGGAAUCUACUUUUUCGUGGGGGAUAACGUAGGGAAACUUACGCUAAUACCGCAUACGACCUACGGGUGAAAGCAGGGGAUCUUCGGACCUUGCGUGAUUGAAUGAGCCGAUGUCGGAUUAGCUAGUUGGCGGGGUAAAGGCCCACCAAGGCGACGAUCCGUAGCUGGUCUGAGAGGAUGAUCGGCCACACUGGAACUGAGACACGGUCCAGACUCCUACGGGAGGCAGCAGUGGGGAAUAUUGGACAAUGGGCGCAAGCCUGAUCCAGCCAUACCGCGUGGGUGAAGAAGGCCUUCGGGUUGUAAAGCCCUUUUGUUGGGAAAGAAAAGCAGCGGGUUAAUACCCCGCUGUUCUGACGGUACCCAAAGAAUAAGCACCGGCUAACUUCGUG
rnacentral:rRNA from 1 species